rnacentral:rRNA from 1 species
UACGUAGGGUGCGAGCGUUGUCCGGAAUUAUUGGGCGUAAAGAGCUCGUAGGCGGUCUGUCGCGUCGGUCGUGAAAACUUGGGGCUUAACCCUGAGCUUGCGGUCGAUACGGGCAUGACUGGAGUUCGGUAGGGGAGACUGGAAUUCCUGGUGUAGCGGUGAAAUGCGCAGAUAUCAGGAGGAACACCGGUGGCGAAGGCGGGUCUCUGGGCCCGAUGACUGACGCUGAGGAGCGAAAGCGUGGGGAGCGAAACAGG